rnacentral:tRNA from 1 species
ACCUGGGUGGCUCAGUCGGUGAAGCAUCUGACUUCCGCUCAGAUUGUGAUCUCCAGGUC